UAGGCUGCAACUCGCCUACACGAAGUCGGAAUCGCUAGUAAUCGCGGAUCAGCAUGCCGCGGUGAAUACGGUUCCCGGGCCUUGUACACACCGCCCGUCACACCAUGGGAGUUUGUAACGCCCAAAGUCGGUGGCCUAACCUUUAUGGAGGGAGCCGCCUAAGGCGGGACAGAUGACUGGGGUGAAGUCGUAACAAGGUACC
rnacentral:rRNA from 1 species